AAUUCGAUUGAGUUUGAUCCUGGCUCAGAACGAACGCUGGCGGCAGGCCUAACACAUGCAAGUCGAACGCCGUAGCAAUACGGAGUGGCAGACGGGUGAGUAACGCGUGGGAACAUACCCCUCGGUUCGGAAUAACUCAGGGAAACUUGAGCUAAUACCGGAUAAGUCCGAGGUUUUAAUCGACCUUGGAGAAAAAUUUAUCGCCGGAGGAUUGGCCCGCGUCUGAUUAGCUUGUUGGUGAGGUAAUGGCUCACCAAGGCGACGAUCAGUAGCUGGUCUGAGAGGAUGAUCAGCCACAUUGGGACUGAGACACGGCCCAAACUCCUACGGGAGGCAGCAGUGGGGAAUAUUGGACAAUGGGCGAAAGCCUGAUCCAGCCAUGCCGCGUGAGUGAUGAAGGCCUUAGGGUUGUAAAGCUCUUUUACCCGGGAAGAUAAUGACGGUACCGGGAGAAUAAGCCCCGGCUAACUUCGUGCCAGCAGCCGCGGUAAUACGAAGGGGGCUAGCGUUGUUCGGAAUUACUGGGCGUAAAGCGCACGUAGGCGGAUCUUUAAGUCAGGGGUGAAAUCCCGAGGCUCAACCUCGGAACUGCCUUUGAUACUGGGGAUAUCGAGUCCGGGAGAGGUGAGUGGAACUGCGAGUGUAGAGGUGAAAUUCGUAGAUAUUCG
rnacentral:rRNA from 1 species